rnacentral:rRNA from 1 species
AUUGAACGCUAGCGGCAGGCCUAACACAUGCAAGUCGAGCGGGGUUUUCGGACCUAGCGGCGGACGGGUGAGUAAUGCGUAGGAAGCUACCCGAUAGAGGGGGAUACCAGUUGGAAACGACUGUUAAUACCGCAUAAUGUCUACGGACCAAAGUGUGGGACCUUCGGGCCACAUGCUAUCGGAUGCGCCUACGUGGGAUUAGCUAGUUGGUGGGGUAAUGGCUCACCAAGGCGACGAUCCCUAGCUGGUUUGAGAGGAUGAUCAGCCACACUGGAACUGAGACACGGUCCAGACUCCUACGGGAGGCAGCAGUGGGGAAUAUUGGACAAUGGGCGCAAGCCUGAUCCAGCCAUGCCGCGUGUGUGAAGAAGGCCUUCGGGUUGUAAAGCACUUUCAGUAGGGAGGAAGAGUUGAGUGUUAAUAGUACUCAGCUUUGACGUUACCUACAGAAGAAGCACCGGCUAACUCUGUGCCAGCCGCCGCGGUAAGAC